CUCUGAUAACCUGUGUUUCGAUACGAAACGGGCCCUGCCUCAUUAUUUGUCAUCUCCCUGGAGGUGACGGAGGGCUGUUUCAACCUCAGGGGAAAAGUUGCUGUACAGAACACAGGCCAGAGUGUGCCCCAAAGAAAUCAGGCGGUGGAGUGAUUUAAAAGUGAUCAUUUUCUGUAGUCCUAGCUACUCGGGAGGCUGAGGCAGGAAAAUCGCUUGAACCCGGGAGAAGAAGGAUGCAGUGAGCAGAGAUCGUGCCAUUGCACUUCAGCCUGGCGACAGAGCAAGACUCCGUCUCAAAAAGAAAAAAAAAAAGUGAUCAUUUUCAUGACUUGGACUAGGAAGAUCAACUGGGCACGGUGAUUCUUGCACAGAUUUUUAUAAGGAUCCUCCAAGUGUAACAACCAUUUGGAAAACUCCGGGCCUUGAGGACAGCCAGAGAAGAUAAGUUCAACUUGCACUUUGCCAGAGCAGGGGAUCUCCCUCAGCUCCCUGCCUUCAAACCUACCUUACAGACCUGCCUGGCCUGCACCUGAGCCACCCUCUUCUUCCUUCCUAUUCCCACUAAGGAGGUGUCCCUGCUUCCUUCAUAGUGGGUCCUUCCCCUGCACCGGGAAACAGGCCCUAGAGAUGACUCCAUGGGGUGAAGGACCAGAGCCUCCUUGCCUCUCUCUCUGUCUCUCUCUCCCUCUCUUGUCUUCCCAUGAAGCUCUGAUGUUUCCAGUACAAAAUAAACCUCGCUCAGUCCCAGUCCUUCUCCAGUUCCUCCCCUCACAAGCAUGGCCCCCCACUGCUGGCUUUCCUUCCCCACCUUCCACCCUCUCCUUGGCCUUCUCCACUCUGGCUUCAGUGGCCUCCGAUGGCUACACUCAGAGCCUGGGUGCACUGUCCUUUGGAAGCUUCCCUCUGGGGCCGCCUGUCAGCCUCCUCUGAAGACUCACACUCC
rnacentral:lncRNA from 1 species